AUUGAACGCUGGCGGAAUGCUUUACACAUGCAAGUCGAGCGGCAGCACGGGGGCAACCCUGGUGGCGAGCGGCGAACGGGUGAGUAAUACAUCGGAACAUGCCCAGUCGUGGGGGAUAACACUUCGAAAGAAGUGCUAAUACCGCAUACGUCCUGAGGGGGAAAGCGGGGGAUCGCAAGACCUCGCGCGAUUGGAGUGGCCGAUGUCAGAUUAGCUAGUUGGUGGGGUAAGGCCUACCAAGGCAACGAUCUGUAGCUGGUCUGAGAGGAUGAUCAGCCACACUGGGACUGAGACACGGCCCAGACUCCUACGGGAGGCAGCAGUGGGGAAUUUUGGACAAUGGGGGCAACCCUGAUCCAGCCAUUCCGCGUGAGUGAAGAAGGCCUUCGGGUUGUAAAGCUCUUUCGGCAGGAACGAAACGGUGAGCUCUAACAUAGCUUGCUAAUGACGGUACCUGAAGAAGAAGCACCGGCUAACUACGUG
rnacentral:rRNA from 1 species